GUACCAGGGCAAAAAAGGUCAACUCGUGUACGAGGACCUACAUUAGGCAAAGGAGUACAAAAAAAAAUAGCUCGGAAAAAGGAAGAGAAAUUACAUGUGUAUGUCAAUCGGGUGUUGAAUGCAAUCAUAGGAGGGAAUGGCACCCCAACGACGAAUGAGUUGGGAUUGCAAAUUAGACGGUUGUGCCCUCUUCAGAGCGUGAAGUCAUGGAGAAAAAUCGAUCAAAGUACCAAAGAUGCGGUCGUCCAAACGGACAAGUUUGUUAUCGGCGAUGAUUUUGACAAUGAUGAACAAGCUCAAGAAAUCCUCGGUAGAAAGGCAUAGUUGCUAUACAAGGAUUGGAGGUACAAUCUAAAGCAAGAGUUCCUCGAACUUGAGGAAAAGGGUGUUAUGACUCCUAUAGCCAUCCGUGUAGUGGAGUGAGCUUGGAGGACUGGAAAUAUCUGAUUGAUGUUACUUGGAAGACGAAUCUCACUUGAAACGCUCUAAAGCUGGUAAACCAAAUAGGGGUAUGCUCCCCUAUAAUCAUACAAGUGGAUUGCAAUCAUUUCCUAUAGCAAUGUCACUUAUGGCAAAUGAGGAUGGAGAUAUAGAUUUCCUUGAAUUUAUAAGAAAUCACACAAGUAGAAGAAGACGAGAGACUGGAUUGACCCCAAAUAUGGUGAGCUACAUGAUGAUAUGGUGAAUCUAUAAGUCGUAGCCACCGAUGCGGGGUUCCCAUUAACCCACGAAGAACUAUCAAGGCAAGUGCUCGGGGCAAAAAAAAAUUACUUGCGUAGAUGUGGGAUAGGCCCACAACCCUCUUCCACAACUUCUAGUGCGGCACGAGCACGUGAUAAACAUAUGGAGUCAAUGAGAGCAAAACUAGAGGUUCUUUGUGAGGAGCGUCAAAGAGAUCACGAGGAGUUACUAAAGGAGAAAGAGGAGCGGCAAAGAGAUCAUGAGGAGCUAUUGAAGGAGAAAGAGGUGCGGCAAAGAGAUCACGAGAAGUUGCUCAAGGAGAAAGAAGAGCGCCAAAGAGAUCGGGAGGAAAUUAUGAGGGAAAAAGAGGAGCUGAUGAGACAAGUCGAAGAAGGAAAAAAAGCACGGGAGGCACAACAAAUACAACUCAAUCAUCUGAACGACGUGGUGUCACGGCUCACAACCCUUUUGGAGGGUUCAGAUGGUCAUCCUACUAUUCAGUAAACAUAAUUUUAUUGAUAAACUAAUGCAAGUUUUACAAAUACAUGGAUCAUAUUGGCAUAGAAUUGUUUUCUAAAGUUGCUAUGCAAAUUUUUUUUUGUUAUGUGCUUCGAAUAGGUUUUGAGGCAUAAUGUGAGUAGACUUUGUAGCAGACGGACCGUAAUCUGAUUUCCAUAAGAUGGCUUUUGGCAUUGACAUGUGGAUCUUCUAUUUUUUUUGUCCGGAAGGUAAUUCACAGCUUUGCAAAUUUGGGAAGUUUUUGGUCGUCCUCAACUUUUUGUGUGGAAUUUGGAUGAAUUGUACGUAUAAUUUUUGACGGGGUACAUAGUAUUUUUGGAACUUGUAUUAAUCGCUCUGGUCGUAUAUAUAGAUUACCUUUUGUCGUGGUACAUAUUACCAUGGUAAUUUGUACCAUGCCAAAUAGUCAUUACAAUGCAUAAUAUAGAAAAAUGUUUUGUGUAUAGAGGACACUGUUUUUGUAACAUAUUCGGAUGUAU